CACUAGAUACAGCAGAGCAGUCAACAUCAUGAGGCACCAGUGAAGGGGACGUCCCAGGCUGAAGCCACAGUCAACUGUGCACCAAGGUCCUUCCCUGUUGGUGGCUGGGCAGUGUGAACACAAAGUCUUGCUGUGUCAGUGAGGGCCCGGGCCCUGGGAAUCUCUAACUUCUGCUGCAGUUGUUGCUGUGUCUGAUGCUCCUGCUGCCAAAACCUAGGUCAAGGGUUUGAAAACACAAGUUUGCAACCUCAAACCAGGACAUUUCUAUGUCAGAGAGGAUAAUGUCUAGAUUUGCAAUGUCAGACCAGGUCCACCUGUUAUUCCUAAUGUGAGAAAUCUGGGCAUCUGUGCUCUUCACAUCGGGUGCUUCAAGAUACUACACAAGAGAAUCAGGGAUUGCCUGUUAAAUGUGACCUGCUUCCCUUGGGGUUUCAAUCCCAAAAGCCCAUCCUAUGUUCAACAACAAAGCAGCUCCCCUGAAAGAGUUCAACUGGACAGACAGAGUGUGUCAAGACCUGUGGGUCCUGAUGUCCAUUGAAGAGGCCAACUGUGGGAGGCUGAUCUGGAUUCCAGUUCCUGUAUACUCUGGGCACCCACUGUUCUAGACGAGAUGUCUGCAAUAUUACAGGACUCUCCACUGUGGCAUUCCAGGAGCACUCCCUCAAAAGGCAGUGAUUGCUUACAAAACAUCCAUCAAUUUCCAAUCCUCAGUCUUUCACAUCUGAGGAGCCUGGAGGAGGAGACUCUACUAAUUUUUCAUGGCAGCCAUGUGACCUAUGUCUUUCUAUUUCCUGGGCAUUGUGUUCUCAAUUAUGGGAUCUCGGACUACAAACGUGGGUGGUGCGUUGUUGCUGAGGGUCAUGCCUGACUAGAGCAAGACUUGACUGGAAGAGGAUCAAUUGUCCAGAUGGAAUCUAAUGAUUCUGGUGACUAGCCGAGGGACUAUGGUCAAGGCUCUAAGGGGACACCUUGAGAUCUCCCUGCAGUUCAGAUGGACAGACAAGAAAUAAUGAGCUCUGACCUGUAUUCUGAUAGCACAGAGUGGGGCAUCAGCCAGGUCUUGUCACAAGCAUCUGCAGAUGAAAGUCUGGAUGCUUAGUAUCUCUUGCUAUAUAUCCAGUCCAUGGGACACUGGGCAACCCAAGAGGCCAUUGUGAUUUCAGUGCAACAGGACUCUUCAGAGGGAACUAUAUUCUCAAGUGCAGAGGAUACUGGGAUAGCUAUCCAAAGCAUCAGAUUAUCAGGCAAGAAGCACUGAGUGUGUCUUGAAGCCCUACAUGCCAAGAAGAAAAUAAACUCAUUUUCAUGGGGCACUAAUGCUGGCCCUUUCCAACCCCCAACUCCAUUUAAUCUAGGUCCAAUUAUCCAGUUGAUAUUACGUUACAACAAUCACAGUAAAACCAUGCUCCAGAUAAUGGGAAAGAUUUUAGCGACAGGGUUCUGGACCUUGCUGUCUUUCCAUGCCUGUAUGGACAUUUAGAAUGUGUGCAGUCUCUGGAAGGUCCUGUGUCAGCUGUAGGCUGGGCUUAGCUGUGGCUUUUUCUCCAUCUAAUGCAGAAGCCCUUGUGCCAAUAUGUGAUCCUGUUGACAAGGCAGUUCUGCCCUUCAAGCCCACGGGAUGAUUCACCUGUCUCCAUAUAAACACAGCCCAGCAUGCCCUUACCGGGUGAUACAGUCACUAUGGUGACACUAAGACAAGAAGGACUAUGACAGUAGGAAGUGGGAUGGGAAGACAUCAUGAGGCCCAGCUGUACCUGGGACGUAGACAGCGAAACCACCAAUCCCCCUUCAGACCUGCUUUCUAUACUGGUGUCCUUGUACUGAAGCUCUGUCACAGAGAAGGCAACAAUUUCUCCCCGAAACUCCUUCAGCCUUCAUUUUGAGUCUUCUAGAUCGGAAGAACCUGGAGAAGGGUCUCUCCAGAUGUGUCAGAGGGAGUCCCUGUGACCUGGGUCACUACAUCUCUUGGGAUUUUGUUCCAGGUGUGGGCUAUCUGAUAGAGCUGGACUCACAGUUCUAGCCAUGCAGCCUCUUCCUCACUUUCAGGAAUGUGCCUGCUCCUGGCAUGUGCCUGCUCCUGGCAUGUGCCUGCUCCUGUCUCCCUGUAGCAUCAUGGGGGUGGUUCUUUCUCCACAGCUCUGACCCCAUUUUACCUACAAGGAAUGAGAGAGAAGACUGGGACUGAAGUUUGAGGCCAGCUUCUGGGCUUCCUUUGUGCAAUGAUCUGAGCUGUUCUUUUGUCAGUUGUCAUUGGAUGGACAUGACCAUGUGACAAUCUCUCAGGAAGGGCUGGAUCCCAGUCUGGUGUCCAGGCUGUCCACAGGGAGCUGGCACUCUGGAAGAGUCCAGGACAAUCAAGAAGACAAAGGUGCUGAGAUACAGCAGAGCAGUCAACAUCAUGAGGCACACGUGAAGGGGACGUCCCAGGCUGAAGCCACAGUCAACUGUGCACCAAGGUCCUUCCCUGUUGGUGGCUGGGCAGUGUGAACACAAAGUCUUGCUGUGUCAGUGAGGGCCCUGGCCCUGGGACUCUCUAACUUCUGCUGCAGUUGUUGCUGUGUCUGAUGCUCCUGCUGCCAAAACCUAGGUCAAGGGUUUGAAAACACAAGAGUGCAACCUCAAACCAGGACAUUUCUAUGUCAGAGAGAACAAUGUCUAGAUUUGCAAUGUCAGACCAGGUCCACCUGUUAUUCCUAAUGUGAGAAAUCUGGGGAUCUGUGCUCUUCACAUCGGUGCUUCGGGAUACUACACAAGAGAAUCAGGGAUUGCCUGUUAAAUGUGACCUGCUUCCCUUGGGGUUUCAAUCACAAAAGCCCAUCCUAUGUUCAACAACAAAGCAGCUCCCCUGAAAGAGGUAGAAUUCAGAGCCCAGUGAGGAACUGGGCACGCAGUUCAACUGGACAGACAGAGUGUGUCAAGACCUGUUGGGCCUGAUGUCCAUUGAAGAGGCCAACUGUGGGAGGCUGAUCUGGAUCCCAGUUCCUGUAUACUCUGGGCACCCACUGGUCUAGACGAGAUGUCUGCAAUAUCACAGGACUCUCCACUGUGGCAUUCCAGGAGCUCUCCCUCAAAAGGCAGUGAUUGCUUACAAAACAUCCAUCAAUUUCCAAUCCUCAGUCUUUCACAUCUGAGGAGCCUGGAGGAGGAGACUCUACUAAUUUUUCAUGGCAGCCAUGUGACCUAUGUCUUUCUAUUUCCUGGGGAUUGUGUUCUCAAUUAUGGGAUCUCGGACUAGAAACGCGGGUGGUGCAUUGUUGCUGAGGGUCAUGCCUGACUAGAGCAAGACUUGACUGGAAGAGGAUCAAUUGUCCAGAUGGAAUCUAAUGAUUCUGGUGCCUAGCCGAGGGACUAUGGUCAAGGCUCUAAGGGGACACCUUGAGAUCUCCCUGCAGUUCAGAUGAACAGACAAGAAAUAAUGAGCUCUGACCUGUAUUCUGAUAGCACAGAGUGGGGCAUCCGCCAGGUCUUGUCACAAGCAUCUGCAGAUGAAAGUCUGGAUGCUUAGUAUCUCUUGCUAUAUAUCCAGUCCAUGGGACACUGGGCAACCCAAGAGGCCAUUGUGAUUGCAGUGCAACAGGACUCUCCAGAGGGAACUAUAUUCUCAAGUGCAGAGGAUACUGGGAUAGCUAUCCAAAGCAUCAGAUUAUCAGGCAAGAAGCACUGAGUGUGUCUUGAAUCCCUACAUGCCAAGAAGAAAAUAAACUCAUUUUCAUGGGGCACUAAUGCUGGCCCUUUCCAACCUGAAACUCCAUUUAAUCUAGGUCCAAUUAUCCAGUUGAUAUUACGUUACAACAAUCACAGUAAAACCAUGCUCCAGAUAAUGGGAAAGAUUUUAGCGACAGGGUUCUGGACCUUGCUGUCUUUCCAUGCCUGUAUGGACAUUUAGAAUGUGUGCAGUCUCUGGAAGGUCCUGUGUCAGCUGUAGGCUGGGCUUAGCUGUGGCUUAUUCUCCAUCUAAUGCAGAAGCCCUUGUGCCAAUAUGUGAUCCUGUUGACAAGGCAGUUCUGCCCUUCAAGCCCACGGGAUGAUUCACCUGUCUCCAUAUAAACACAGCCCAGCAUGCCCUUACCGGGUGAUACAGUCACUAUGGUGACACUAAGACAAGAAGGACUUUGACAGUAGGAAGUGGGAUGGGAAGACAUCAUGAGGACCAGCUGUACCUGGGAAGUAGACAGCGAAACCACCAAUCCCCCUUCAGACCUGCUUUCUAUACUGGUGUCCUUGUACUGAAGCUCUGUCACAGAGAAGGCAACAAUUUCUCCCCGAAACUCCUUCAGCCUUCAUUCUGAGUCUUCUAGAUCGGAAGAACCUGGAGAAGGGUCUCUCCAGAUGUGUCAGAGGGUGGCCCUAUGACCUGGGUCACAACUUAUCUUGGGAUUUUGUUCCAGGUGUGGGCUGUCUGAUAGAGCUGGACUCACAGUUCUAUGUCCUUGCAUUUACUGGGCAUUGUGUUCUCAAUUGUUGGAUCUCUCACCACAAAGGCAGGUGGUUUAUUGUUGCUGAGGGUCAUGCCUGACUAGAACAAGACUUGACUGGAAAAACAAUGUCAAUUCUCUCACAUAAGCAAGAGAUGGAGAAGGGAUGUGAGGCCAUUGUGCACAGGGAACAAAUGUCCAAAUGGAAUCUAAUGUGAUGAUCUGGUGCCUCGCAGAGGGACUAUGGUCAAGGCUCAAAGGGGACACCUCGAGAUCUCCCUGCGCUUCAGUUGAACAGACAAGAAGUAAUGAACUCUGACCUAUCUUCUGAUAGUACAGUGUGGGGCAUCAACCAGGUCUGGACACAGGCAUCUGGAGAUGAAAGUCUGAAUGCUUACUAUCUCCUGCUGCAUGUCCAGUCCAUGGGACACUGGGCAACCCAAGAGGACAUUGUGAUUGCAGUGCCAAAGGAGUCUCCACAGGGAACUAACUCCAUUCUCAAGAGCAGAGAAUACUGUGAUAGCCAUUCAAAGCAUCUAAUGAUCAGGCAAGAAGCAAUGAGGAUGUCUUCAAGCCCUACAUGCCAAGUAGAAAAUAAACUCAAUCUCACGAGGCACUAAUGAUGGCCCUUCCACACCCCGGCCCAAACUCCAUGUACUGUAUGUCCAAUUACUCAGUCAACAUUUCCUUACAACAAUCACAGUAGCUCCAGAUUUGGGGGAAGUUAUUUGGAACACAGAUCUGGACCACUCUCCUUCCAUGUCUGUAUGGACAUUUAGGAUGUGUGCAGUCUCUGGAAGGUUCUGUGCCAACUGCAGGCUGGGCUGAGCUGGGGCUUUCUCACCAUCUAAUGCAGAAGCCCUUGUGCCAAUAUGCGAUCCUGUUGACCAGGCUAUUCUGCUCUUCAAGCCAAAGUGCUGAUUCACCUGUCUCCAUAUAAAUACAGCCCAGCAUGCCCUUACCGUGUGAUCUGUCACUAUGGUGACACUAAGACAAGAAGGACUUUAAAAGUAGGAAGUGGGAUGGGAAGACAUUGUGAGGCCGAGCUGUACCUGAAAUCUAGACAGCGAAACCACCAAUCCCCCUUCAGAACUGCUUUCUAUACUGGUGUCCUUGUACCGAAGCUCUGUCACAGAGAAGGCAACAAUUUAUCCCCGAAACUCCUUCAGCCGUCAUUCUGAGUCUUCUAGAUGGGAAGAACCUGGAGGAGGGUCUCAGAUAUGUCAGAGGGUGGCCCUGUGACCUGGGUCACUACAUUUCUUGGGAUUUUGUUCCAGUUGUGGGCUGUGUGACAGAGCUGGGCCCACAGUUCUAGCCAUGCAGCCUGUUCCUCACUUCCUGGCAUGUGCCUGCUCCUGGCAUGUGCCUACUCUUGGCAUGUGCCUGCUCUUGGCAUGUGCCUGCUCCUGGCAUGUGCCUGCUCCAGUCCUUAUGCAGUACCCUGGGAGCGGUUCUUCCUCCACAGUCCUGAUGGUCACCAUUCUUACCUACGAAGAAUUUGAGAGAGGACUGCAUCUGAGUUUUGAGCCCAAGUUCUGGGCUUCCUUUGUGCAAUGAUCUGAGCUGUUCUUUUGUCAGUUAUCAUUGGAUGGAUAUGGCCUUGUGACACGCCCUCAGGAGGGGCUGGAUCACAGGAUCGGUAGUCUGGUCUUCAAGCUGUCCACAGGGAGCUGGCACUCUGCCAGUGUCCAGGUCAAUCAUGAAGACAAAGGUGCUGAGGAAAUUCCACCUGAAAACAGGUGGGGAACCUAAUGGACAUGAAGCAGUGUCAGAACUUGCUGGAGAACUCUGUGACUGCUGUGACUGCUCUGCGAGAGUGGGAGCCUUGACCUUGGCCCACACAUGUGCUGUUCUUCUUUGGAUGCCAGUCAGGACAACGAGAUCUCUGUCCCUCAGAAUUGCCUUGGUUGUUGAUUUAGGGGAUCUCCAACACCUCAGCUUAGUUUUCUAGCUUUAGAUAAUAUUUAAUGUUCGCAUUGUAGAUUAUUUACCCCUGUUCUUUAUGCCCAGUUUACAUUACCAAACUUAAUAUGGUUGUAACAGUAAGUAUGCAAUGUUUUAGGACAUGGCUACCCCCAUUGGCAUGCUCAGAGCCUUUGCCCAAGGGUGUUCUUAUACACCUGUGAAGAGAGCAAGCCAGGAACUUGUAUCCUUACACAGGGAUGAGAACACACUAAAUCUCAGAGCAUGACUUGCCACAGUGUGGUCCCUGAGUCUGGAAGCUCCUGGCUCCACUGUUCAAGCGUCUUUGUCUAUUCUGUGUUGGGACCUUUUCCACCCCUUAGUUGGUAGUGUCCACAGACCCUUCUGUAGAGACUGGAGUCCAGAAAGCCCAGGGCAGGGUUUCCAGCAGGACCCUGACCCAUGUUGGUUGUCCUGGCUUCCAUCCCUGCCUUCACCAAUCAAUGUUCUCAUGUCUGUCCUUAGAGCUCGUCUGCUCCCGUGCCCUGCACUGGGUGAGGAGGUUGGGAGCAAGCAUCAAAUGAAUGAAAUACAGGCUCUGGAUUCUCUCAGAAAGCCUGCAUCAGACCCCCGAGGCUCUGAGAAGCCGACCAUCUGGUCAAGAACAAAUAUUCUCUGAGGCCAUGAAGACAAGGUAGAGAGUGGGUGCCCCAAGGAAGUGGGUCAGAGGUCUCCCUCCCUGCAUUAUUCAAAUCCUCCUUUGUAGGGCACACUAACAAAUCCACAUAGUCCUAUCUCCCAGAAGACAGGUCAAGGUGUUGCUGUCAGAAGGGCAGGCGACAUGAGCCAUUCAGAACUUCACUAUGAAACAGAGCCAAGACUCAGAUUACUUUUCCCACGGUCUUCCUCAGUCUCAUCUUAAAACUGAAGAUCACCCAGGACAUCCUCUUUUCCUUGAAGUGUGACGAACAGGAUACUUAGUGUGCUCGGGACUGCCUGGGAACGGGUGUACUUGCCAGGAAGACUUCUGACCACCAGGUGGAAGGCACUCAAGUGACCCCAGAAUGGUAAAAUUAAAAACCAUCGAAGAAUCAACAAUAUAAUGAGAGAGAAAAGAGCCUACAAGCUGCAUGAAAUCAGCCAAGUCCUGCCAUGCCUGAGGUCCACUGUUCUUUUCCAAGUCAGGCUUUGCCUUGCAGAGUCCCGUUGGACAGGCAUUCAUAUGAGGAUCAGAGACUAGGCUGCAUGACACCCUAUACUGAAUACUGUGCCUGUGUGUGAGACCGAGUUAAGGUGCAGUGUGUCCUUCUGAGAAAAGGAAAACAAGGCUGAGUAAGGCCUCCCCUGAGGCCUGAGGAAAUGUUCCACACAAAACAUUCAGGAUGGAUCUUACUACCUCAGAGACACCUCUCCAGAAACACCCUCAGAUAUGUGCCUGGAUUUCUGUCUCUUAAGAAAACCUAGUUCCUGCCACACUACCUAGAAUCCAGUCUCAACCUCAGAUAUCAUUAUUGUGGGUACUGCUCUGCAAGGGCCUUCACAUUCAGGCUCUAUUGGCUAGGUCUCCAGGAAGAGGUGGAUCUCUCUUUCUUGGCUGCUGCCUCUUCCUCAAGCCAGGGGACCUCUUUUCUUCAGCCACCUGAGAAGUGCCCAAUACCACACACCUACCACAGCAUGGGCAGCAAUACCAGGAGAAUCAUUAGACUCUAAAUGUGUAUACUUUUACAGUCCAUCUGAGUGAUACCAGGACAUUUUUGGCUUUGGAGAAAUAAACCUUGCUCUGCAAUAUUGACCCCAACUCACCACAUUUGGGAACCCAGAAAAAAUGCUCAACUCCCUCAGACAUUCUGUCUCAUUGGUGAGACCACCAGGGCAGGAGGACAGCCCAUGGUCUGCUGAGUCAUCUGCAUUCUUCCCCCUAUUUUCUCUCCCUUCAUCCUCCCUCCUCCCUUUCCACCUGACUCGCAAACAUUAGCUCUGGGGUUUUCUGUCUUAAGCUCAUGUCUCUUCCACUCGGCAUGAGGGGAAACAUCAGGUUCCUCAAACUCAGAAGGAUCAUAUGACAAAACUGUGUAUUAUUUCCUUCCCAUACUCCAACUGUGAUAUUUAUGACACCCAAUUAAACCAUGCUUCCCAUAUGAUCUCUAAAGUGUCUUGAGUUUACCUGUGCAAUAGACACCACUCUAGAUAGAGCUUGCCUGACCUGCUGUCCUUACAGAACUGCCCUUAUUCAGCACCCUCACUUGGUCCUCCUUCAGCAUCCUCUCAUGGUCCUUAUUCACCAACCUCACUUGGUCAUCCUUCAGCAUCCUCACCUGUUUCUUAUUCACCAUCUUCACCUGGUCCUCUAUCAGCCUCCUCACCUAGUCCUGCCCAUUUCCAUCCUCCCUGUCCUCACUCUGUGUAAUCAGAGUCUGAGGCAGUAUGGGUUAGAGGAAGAUGGCCAGGAUUGAGAUCUAAAGUUCUUAUCCAUAAACCUGUGUCUCUCUGCAUAAAGAAGUGGGGACAGUCUUAACUGGGUACAGCCCAACAAAAGAAUCAACAAGGAAGAUACACAUCCCUAAAGCAAUCAACAUGAGACACUUUUUUUUUAUUUUUUCUCAUUAAAUUUAUUUAUUUUACAUGCCAACCCCAGGUUCCCAGUAGCAAAAGACACUCCCAUUACCUUUCAUAAUAAAGAGAAUCUUCUAAGAUACAAAGAAAAAUAAAGUACCUGAUCUUCCCUUACUGUAGCUUUGUCAAAUGUUAUACUUCAUUCUGCUUUAGGAGUCAUUGGUACCCACCACUCCACUGCCUUCUGGAAUGUUCCUCCAAAUAUUUCCACCAAUGCAUUUUUGAUCUACCUUGAUUUAUCUUUGUUCUGAUACUGCCCUGAAACAGCUUCCAUGUGGGAGAAUGAAACCUGAGGUAACCAGACUCUGUGUUUCCUGGGACCUGAUCAAUCAAAUUUUGUUCCAGAAUUAACUGUCUCUCAUUCCCUUUGAGGUUUAGAGCUGUAAUUUUGCACUGUUGGAACAGUGAAGACAGGUUUUUAGAGCAGAGAUGAGGAACAGAAGCCAUGGUGCAGGAGCAGGGAACCUCAAAAUUCUUGCCUGGACAAGAAUUUGCCUAUCAUUGAGUGGGGGAUGGAAUGAGAGUGUCAAGGGGCAGAUAUGGUGAUAUUUUAUUUG